UACAGAGGGGGCAAGCGUUAUUCGGAAUUAUUGGGCGUAAAGGGCGCGUAGGCGGCUUCGCAAGUGGGAGGUGAAAUCCCACGGCUCAACCGUGGAACUGCCUCGGAUACUGGCGGCCUCGAGGGAGGUAGGGGCGUGCGGAACUGUGGGUGGAGCGGUGAAAUGCGUUGAUAUCCACAGGAACUCCGGUGGCGAAGGCGGCACGCUGGACCUCUUCUGACGCUGAGGCGCGAAAGCCAGGGGAGCAAACGGG
rnacentral:rRNA from 1 species